UACGUAGGGUGCGAGCGUUGUCCGGAAUUAUUGGGCGUAAAGAGCUCGUAGGCGGUUUGUCGCGUCGAAUGUGAAAACUCGGGGCUCAACUCCGAGCUUGCAUUCGAUACGGGCAGGCUAGAGUUCGGUAGGGGAGACUGGAAUUCCUGGUGUAGCGGUGAAAUGCGCAGAUAUCAGGAGGAACACCGGUGGCGAAGGCGGAUCUCUGGGCCGAUACUGACGCUGAGGAGCGAAAGCGUGGGGAGCGAACAGG
rnacentral:rRNA from 1 species